UACAGAGGGGGCAAGCGUUGUUCGGAAUUACUGGGCGUAAAGGGCGCGUAGGCGGCCUUCUAAGUCGAACGUGAAAUCCCCGGGCUCAACCCGGGAACUGCGUCCGAUACUGGAAGGCUUGAAUCCGGGAGAGGGAUGCGGAAUUCCAGGUGUAGCGGUGAAAUGCGUAGAUAUCUGGAGGAACACCGGUGGCGAAGGCGGCAUCCUGGACCGGUAUUGACGCUGAGACGCGAAAGCGUGGGGGAGCAAACAGG
rnacentral:rRNA from 1 species